CCUACGGGUGGCAGCAGUCGAGAAUCAUUCACAAUGGGGGAAACCCUGAUGGUGCGACGCCGCGUGGGGGAAUGAAGGUCUUCGGAUUGUAAACCCCUGUCAUGUGGGAGCAAAUUAAAAAGAUAGUACCACAAGAGGAAGCGACGGCUAACUCUGUGCCAGCAGCCGCGGUAAUACAGAGGUCUCAAGCGUUGUUCGGAAUCACUGGGCGUAAGGCGUGCGUAGGCUGUUUCGUAAGUCGGAUGUGAAAGGCGCGGGCUCAACCCGCGGACGGCACAUGAUACUGCGAGACUAGAGUAAUGGAGGGGGAACCGGAAUUCUCGGUGUAGGAGUGAAAUGCGUAGAGAUCGAGAGGAACACUCGUUGCGAAGGCGAGUUCCUGGACAUUAACUGACGCUGAGGCACGAAGGCCAGGGGAGCGAAAGGGAUUAGAUACCCGAGUAGUC
rnacentral:rRNA from 1 species